rnacentral:rRNA from 1 species
UACGUAGGUGGCAAGCGUUGUCCGGAAUUAUUGGGCGUAAAGCGCGCGCAGGCGGCCUCUUAAGUCUGAUGUGAAAGCCCCCGGCUCAACCGGGGAGGGCCAUUGGAAACUGGGAGGCUUGAGUAUAGGAGAGAAGAGUGGAAUUCCACGUGUAGCGGUGAAAUGCGUAGAGAUGUGGAGGAACACCAGUGGCGAAGGCGACUCGCUGGGCUCAACCUGACGCUGAGGCGCGAAAGCGUGGGGAGCGAACCGG